rnacentral:tRNA from 1 species
GGAGGAUAAGCGAAUUGGCAAGCAGACUGAUUCGAAAUCAGUUGCCGCGCAAGCGGUUGCGGGUUCGAGUCCCGUGUCCUCCGC